GUCCUGGUAGCUCAGUUGGUAGAGCGAUCGGCUGUUAACCGAUAGGUCGUAGGUUCGAGUCCUACCCGGGACG
rnacentral:tRNA from 7 species